CACGCUGCAGUUGCAUUCAACUCUUAUACGGUUGCAAUGAUGCAGUCGAUAGUUUGUUCGUUUGCGACCGGGUUAUCACUUAUUAAAUCCCCACUCGGGGUGCGCUCUUAGAAUCAUCUCAAAAGACAUUAAUACGUUGGUCUUGCUAUGAAAUGGAAUCGAUUCAACUGCCAAAAGUAUCCGAUGUUGUAUGGUUUUAAUAAAAAAGAUUAUAUAACCUUCAUUAUCGCAUUCCUGUUUGCAGGUAAACAAUGUAUGGACAUACCGCUGCUCAACGGCGAUUUUGGUAACAGCGUAAAGUGUGGUUCCAGUUAAGCGCGUGCAGUCCGAACAGACUAUAUAUGUAUACAAAUAUUUACUUAGAUAAAGAAUGUAUUAGAGACUUUCUAUGGGAAAUCGGGUCUUCUUGUUAGUACGUAAAGUGUGGUCCCAGAAAAGAAUGUGCAGUCCGGACAUAAUAUAUAUGUAUACAAGUAUUGACUUAGAUACAGAAUGUAUUAGAGACUUUUUAUGGGAAAUCGGGUCUUCUUGCUAGUACGUUAAGUGUGGUGCCAGAUAAGACUGUGCAGUCCGAACAGACUAUAUAUGUAUACAAGUAUUGACUUAGAUAUUGAAUGUAUUCGAGACUCGCUUUGGGAAAUCGGGUCUUCUUGCUUGUACGUAAAGUGUGGUCCCAGAUAAGCCUGUGCAGUCCGCACAUAGAAUAUAUGUAUACACAGAUAAAGAAUGUAUUCGAGACUCGCUAUGGGAAAUCGGGUCUUCUUGCUAGUACGUAAAGUGUGGUCAUACAUACGGUGGUAACGAUUGCAAAAGACAACAACUUCAGGGUGUGGGAUCGAUCCCGGGACAAAAAGAGGGCCACAGAUAAAGAAUGUAUUCGAGACUCGCUAUGGGAAAUCGGGUCUUCUUGCUAGUACGUAAAGUGUGGUCCCAGAUAAGACUGUGCAGUCCUCUUGCUAGUGCGUAAAGUGUGGUCCCAGAUAAGCGUGUGCAGUCCGAACAGACUAUAUAUGUAUACAAGUAUUGACUUAGAUAAAGAAUGUAUUAGAGACUUUCUAUGGGAAAUCGGGUCUUCUUGCUAACACGUUAAGUGUGGUCCCAGAUAAGACUGUGCAGUCCGAACAAACUAUAUAUGUUUACAAGUAUUUGCUAAGAUAAAGAAUGUAUUAGAGACUCGCUAUGGGAAAACGGGCCUUCUGCUUGUACGUAAAGUGUGGUGCCAGAUAAGACUGUGCAGUCCUCUUGCUUGUGCGCAAAGUGUGGUGCCAGAUAAAACUGUGCAGUCCUCUUGCUUGUGCGUAAAGUGUGGUGCCAGAUAAAACUGUGCAGUCCUCUUGCUUGUGCGUAAAGUGUGGUGCCAGAUAAGACUGUGCAGUCCUAUUGCUAGUGCGUAAAGUGUGGUCCCAGAUAAGCGUGUGCAGUCCGAACAAACUAUAUAUGUAUACAAGUAUUGACUUAGAUAAAGAAAGUAUUAGAGACUUUCUAUUUGAAAUCGGGUCUUCUUGCUUGUACGUAAAGUGUGGUCCCAGAUAAGCCUGUGCAGUCUGAACAGACAAAUUAGGGACGACACAUUCCGCUUUAUGGUAUUUUUCGUUUAAGGAAAAUCCAAUUUAGGCGGAAGUGACGUCCCUGAUCAGCGUGUCCGGACUGCACAGCCGAAUAAGGACGAUACUUAACGCACAGUCAUAAAGCCAGUUUUCCCAGAGCGAGGCUCCUUUGUAUAACUUUCUUUCUUUUAGCCGACUAUAGUCUCUGCAUCCGCAGUAUAAACUUCUCUGUCGACGGCAGAUUUAUCUUUUAUAUAAGCUACGGAUCCCUCGAAUUUCAUAACACUGCCACACUGCAAGUAAUUCUUCCUUUGUUCGGGGUUUUACACAAAUCUUUAUCCAUGUAAAAUCUUUACAUGCAGUAACGAUUCAGAAGGCUUACAAACACAAGUUUCGUAAAUAAUUUCAGUUCUUCGUUUAAAAAUAAACAUAUAACAUUUAUUAAAUAAAUAAAUACAAAAUAAUACAAAAAUACAUACAUACAUACAUAAAAAAUAUAUACACAUAUAUAAAUAAAUACUAUGACUUUGAUUAAGAACAAAAAUGAUAUUUAUUCAACUACUCAUGGUUCGGCCUGUAUUAACGAUUACGAUUACAAGAUGUGGCAUAUUUUCACGGCAUCGUGCACCGCUCUUCGCGACAGGAGAAAGAUCGUCUGGAACACACAAUUGAUCUGAAAGGCGCGCGCACCGUUGACAUGGUAACGGUGGUAACGAUUGCAAAAGACAACAACUUCAGGGUGUGGGAUCGAUCCCGGGACAAAAAGAGGGCCACAGAUCGGCAGGCCAAAUCGAGACGUGUUCCACUGGGCCACCAGGAUGCGUUGUUCGUGACCGGCAGUGCGGGAGAGGACUCGCCCAACAUAGUCGGCGUGUAUGAUGUCGGCAGACUGGAAUACCGCGCCAUCCGAGAACUUGUUAGACGACGGUUUUUAUUUCGCUCUUUGCUAAUUAAGGUGGCCUGCAAUGCAAACACGAGGUUUUACGAAGCAGAUAACAGAUCAGUGGUCAUGGAAAUUUACGAUAAGUUUUACUUGUUUGACCUUGAAAAGAUGGACGUCAGCAUCGUGUUUCCGGGUCGAGUAGUCGAUACACGAGUGUGUAUCUUGACCUAACGGAAGCAACUCCUCGUGACGUCACGUUUUGGCAAGAACGUGAAACUGUACAACAUCACAAACGGCUGCAUUGACGCCAUAAUAAAAACUGGACGCAAGAAGGAGAUCUACCAAGUUGUGGUGAACGAUCCGGGAAGGCUUGCUGCAGUGACGGUAGUAGUUUUUGGACCUGUAGUGUUGAUGGACCUUGUCACUCACUCUCGCAUGUAUGAGAUCUCAAACAGUACGUUCAGGAGAUGCGAAAGUAUCUUUACCUCUCAGAAUUAAAAAUACGUUGGAAUUUCGCGGCAUAUAUCGUACAAUAUAUUUUAAUGUUAACGGCGUUUCUUUUUCUGUGUACGCAUUGCAUACUAGCAUAACAUAUACUAUCAAUAAAGCGCACUUUGCGAAUGUUGUUUUCAAGAUCAGUUUAUGGUGUUCGCUCCAUAUGUUAUAAGACUACGAAAGUGUUAUCGACCAAUCGACUUUUAAGUUUGAACGGAUGUUGUAUACCAAUGAGUCUCUUUCGUCAUGUUAAUCUGUUGAAGAAAUUCAGUUCUAUUCAAACAAAUAUUUAUUUUAUGUGAACACAUGUAAGCACCGUUGUCGCUUAGUUGAUUGCCUUUAUAACUUAAUAUAUAUGCCACGUUUUGUGAAUACGGGGCAUAAUGCAUGUGCUUAAAAUGUCGUCCCGUAUUAGCCUGUGCAGCCCACACAGAUUUAUCAGGGACGACACUUUCCUCAUAGAAUAGAUUUUCGUUUAUAGGAGAAUUCCUUUAAACGAAACAUUCCAUAAAAGCGGUAACUGCACAUGGUUAUCUGGGAGUAUACUUUAAAAGCAUGUAUUAAGGAUUGUUUUCCCCUUGUUAGCUUUGUUAGUUUCCCGAUUGAAAGAACUUAAAUUACCGGUCGAUGUUUUUAAUUUCGAUU